rnacentral:rRNA from 1 species
UUGGUUAAAGAAGAAAAAGAAGAAAACAGGGGUUCUGUUGAAUUUCAAGUAUUCAGUUUCACCAAUAAGAUACGGAGACUUGCUUCACAUUUGGAAUUUUGA